AAAUCAAUGGCAACACUUAGACGUCAUCUUAGGGGAGCUCGUGAAGGGUAUUAUCGUUAUAAAAGUGAGUAUAUGACCUAUGUCUUGGAAGCCCUAGAACUGGAAGAUACAAUUAAAAAUUAUGAACGUGGCAAUUCAACUGGAUGGAAAUAUAUUUCAAGCUUCAGACCUGCUCGAACUGGUAAAUUGGGGGCCAUCUUUGAUACGAUGGAAUUUUUUUGGCGAUGCAUUUUAAGAAAGCAAUUUGAGAAGUUCUUGGCUAUCAUACUUGGUACUAUGUCA
rnacentral:misc_RNA from 1 species